rnacentral:rRNA from 1 species
AUUGAACGCUGGCGGCAGGCCUAACACAUGCAAGUCGAGCGGAUGAAGGGAGCUUGCUCUCUGAUUCAGCGGCGGACGGGUGAGUAAUGCCUAGGAAUCUGCCUGGUAGUGGGGGGACAACGUUUCGAAAGGAACGCUAAUACCGCAUACGUCCUACGGGAGAAAGCAGGGGACCUUCGGGCCUUGCGCUAUCAGAUGAGCCUAGGUCGGAUUAGCUAGUUGGUGAGGUAAUGGCUCACCAAGGCGACGAUCCGUAACUGGACUGAGAGGAUGAUCAGUCACACUGGAACUGAGACACGGUCCAGACUCCUACGGGAGGCAGCAGUGGGGAAUAUUGGACAAUGGGCGAAGCCUGAUCAGCCAUGCCGCGUGUGUGAAGAAGGUCUUCGGA